rnacentral:tRNA from 1 species
UCCCUGAUGGCUCAGAGGGUAAAGCAUCUGCCUGCAAUGCGGGAGACCUGGGUUCGAUCCCUGGGUUGGGAA